rnacentral:rRNA from 1 species
ACGUAUGGGGCGAGCGUUGUUCGGAAUCAUUGGGCGUAAAGGGCGCGUAGGCGGUUAUGCAAGCUUGGUGUGAAAUCCCACAGCUCAACUGUGGAUCCGCACUGAGAACUGCAUGACUAGAGUUCAAGAGGGGAAGCUGGAAUUCCUGGUGUAGGGGUGAAAUCUGUAGAUAUCAGGAAGAACAUCAGUGGCGAAGGCGAGCUUCUGGCUAUGAACUGACGCUGAGGCGCGAAAGCGUGGGGAGCGAACAGG